rnacentral:tRNA from 1 species
GGGGAUGUGGCUCAGUGGUUCAGUGCCCCUGGGCCCCUGGGCCCCUGGGUUCAAUUCCCAGUACCUCCA